CUCAGAUAGAGCAGUGGUUAAGAACAGAGUGACAUCUGAGGCUCGGCCGGUUGGAGUGAAGGAGAUAGUGGCCCUUGGCUUAUGAAGGAGGUCUCGUCCCAGCAAGGGGAAUGGGCAGUCCAGUACCACCAGAAAAGAGUUUCAGCUGCCCUCCCCCUGAAGAUAGACCCGGUCCUGAUGGGAGGCGAAGAUGACUCCAACUUACCCAGUACAGUGGUCUGGUGGUCCGGUGUCCUCUGCGUCUUUGUAGUGUGGAACCAAGUGGCUGUACAGGGAAGAGGCCAGAGGAGAGGGGGUGUCCAGUGGAUUGCUGCUGGGGCGCAGGCUGAUUCGGCGUGUUCCGCACGACUUGCAACCUUGGUAUGGCAUCCGCAGACCGGCCUGUCUGCAGCGGGCUGAUUUGGCGUGUUCCAGGGGACACGCGACCUUGGUAUGGCAUCUGCAGAGCUGCCUGACUGCAGCAGGCUGAUUCGGCGUGCUCCACUCGACUCGUGACCUUGAUACGGUGUCCCGAAUAAUUGACUUUAAAUGUCCUGUAUUCUUUUAAAUGAAGUAACC
rnacentral:lncRNA from 1 species